UAACUCUUUUUAAUGAUAGCAAACCACACACACCUGACCAGCAAUAUAAAAUACGAAGAUCAAAGCGAAACACAGAAACGUUCAGAAAGUCCUAAUGGCCCCAAGGAACAUGCUGGUUUAACAGACUGUAACGUUCACCAGAGAACAUGACAAGAAUCCAGUGCUCGAAACAGCAAAAGCCAAUCUUCUAUUUGUUUAACCCACUGACAAUUUCUCUGGUCUCGAUAGUGACUGUCUAAGUCUUCCGCAGUGAAAAUACAUCUCAGGGAACCUGUCACGGGUCUCCAUGCAAUGAAGAGCACUCCUUACUGUAAGGAAAUUCCAUGAACCCCGACUUGGAGGAGUCACCUCACUCAUGUGGAUAGUACUGGCAACCACCUUCACACGGAAACUUCACAGUGGACCUAAAACUCACCAUUGUGUCUCAGCAUGAAAGUGUCAAGUUGAAAAUCAACCCUGUCUCGUGCAUAGUGCUGCUCCUCCAAAGACAGCCGCCAUUAUCCCUUCCCUUUCAUUAUGCGCAUGUCAGCAUCUCUGACCAGCCACUGCCCUCCCCGCUGAAGGUUAGCCCUGGAACCUGUGGAAGAAAUGCUGCAAAGACCCACUCCUGUCCCAUGAGAGCCUGGCGGCUACUGUCUCCCUUUCCUGAUCGCAGCUGCAGUUUGGCUGACUUUGAGCCAUCAUGUUGCUCACCAAGGGAAUAUGAAGAAACAGGAAAGUUUGAGAUACUGAGUAAAGCCUUCUCAGAGAUUCCAGUACAGCCACUGGACAUCCGACAUCCGGUACAAAUGCAGGUGACAUCACAAGAUGCAGUACAAACCACACAACUGAGAUCCAUCGAGGCCCAGAAUCAAAUAAAGUUUUAGGUAAUUGGUAAA